GUUGAUCAUUCUUUCUCCAGUACGCAGGAAUCAGCGCUGUGCGGAGCCAUGGUCCAAUGAGUGUCUUGCCGUAUGCGUCGGUCAGAACCCAUGCAAGUGCAAUUGCGUUGGCCAAUACAACCAGCACCAAAGGAAUGAAUACAAGUACAUUGGAUGAUCGCCAUUUCUCAGUGUCCUCGAUAAAAGCGGAAUCAGUGUCA